AGCUGGUUCCAGUGCAGGGUAGUUAUAACUAAUUAAUCACAACCAGCUACAGAUUUCUUUGUCCCUUUCCCACUCUCACUGCUUCACUUGACAGCCUUAA
rnacentral:Y_RNA from 1 species